rnacentral:tRNA from 1 species
GGGGGAAUACCCGAGCGGCCAAAGGGGCCAGACUGUAAAUCUGGUGGCUUAGCCUUCGCAGGUUCGAAUCCUGCUUCCCCCA